GUAGGUGAACCUGCGGAAGGAUCAUUAUAGUUUUCCAAACUUUUACUCAACCAAGCCGAUUUGUUGCCAGGCGAAAGCCUAGCAGCUAACAACCUAACCUAAAGAAAGCUAACUAAGCUUAAAUCUAAAACCAAAUCCUCAACGAUGGAUAUCUAGGUUCCUACUACGAUGAAGAACGCAGCGAAGUGCGAUAAGCAAUGCGAAUUGCAGAGCCGAGAGUCAUCAGAUUUUUGAACGUAACUGACACCGGAGGGUUCUCCCUUCGGUAUGCUUCUUUCAGUGUGUGAUUCUCUCCUCACCCAAACCUUAAUGCGAUAGAUGCCCUUCUAUUGCUAAGCGCGAAAGCACUCUGAACCCUGCAGCGGAAGCCUCCGGGCCGACGCACUCAAUGCAGUAGUCACAUUCUCAAAUGUGAACUCAUUGAGCGUAGAGUCAGUGCAGUUUACUGCCAGUGCUUAGACACCUAAAUUUCUCAGCAUCUGAAAUGAAGUAGGACCACCCGCUGAACUUAAGCAUUAUCAGUA
rnacentral:rRNA from 1 species